AUGCAGAAGAAGAAAGUAAAUAUUGUCUUGUUUUUUUUAGGGGGAAAUAGGUCUGAAGGGAGAGAAAGGCGAACCAGGAUUGCCUGGGAAACAAGGCGAGACCGGACUAAGAGGUAAAGAUGGAGAACCAGGGCAGAAAGGCACCUCUGGGACCAAGGGAGAAGCUGGCAUCCCUGGAAAGCCAGGAGAGAGGGGAAUCAGGGGUCCACUAGGACUCCCAGGACGGCCUGGAGAGCAGGGGAUAAAAGGAGAUACAGGACAACCUGGAAAGGAUGUAAGGCGAUAACUAAAGGAGCAGUUAAGAGAGGGAGAACAGGGGAUAGUGCA
rnacentral:lncRNA from 1 species